CUUCCGUCUGUGUACUUCCGGGGUCAAGUGUUUGACUGAGACAGUGACCGGUGUGCUGUUGGGGCAUACGUGUCUUUCGGCGUCCUAUUGUGGUGAGACGCCCGUAGCCGCCUGGGUUUACUCCCUCGCUCCUCUCAUGUGCCUGUGUAUCUGCUUAAAAGGUGUAAUCUGCCUGAAUGCCAGCCGUCUGAGAACUCCGCUGUUUUGUCUCCACUGUUUUGUCUCCACUGCUUUGUCUCCGCUGUUCUGUCCCUGUG